rnacentral:tRNA from 1 species
GCCUUCGUGGUGUAGUGGUCUGCAUGUUCGACGCGUAAUCGAGAGGUCCGUGGUUCGAUUCCCGGCGAAGGCG